rnacentral:lncRNA from 1 species
UUGAGUGGCCUAUUUCCCACCCCCUGGUGUUGGUGGAGUAGCUGUGGAACAGUGAGAGAAGGAGAGAUGAGGACUUGAACAUAUUUGGAAUAUGACCAAGAUGUCUUUACCUUUAUUGAGUCCUGACGAAAUCUGGCUGUUAUAAAUCCUGACUGAAUCCCAUGAUGUUUUCCAAGCAAAUGGGACCACUUUGUAAGAAGCAGAAGCGUCCUCUCACCAUGUGCAAGAGGAGGAGGUGUAAAUGGAGAGAAGCCACCAGCAUUUUCAGAAAGCCACAUGAUGUAACAGCCCCACUGCACCGCCUCAUUUGUGCUGGAAAAUUUUAAAUAAGAGAAAUAGAAUUCUGUUCCAUUAGCAUUGCAACAAGUAUGUUAGCAUAAUAAACUUGGUACCAGGGUGGCAUUCAGCUCCAUUUUACAUGCCCUUCUGUCUCACCUUUCCUUGCCAAUGCCAUUGAAGUCCUAAUGGAAAGACAGCCUUUGAAAGAACCCUGCUGGCUUUUUGGCUGCCUGUUGGCAACAGAGGAGAAUAGGAGGAUGGGAAUAUGCAUUUGUAAAGUUCCACUUGCUUAUCUUACUUAGGGACAGCAUUUUAUCCUUUCAAGCUCAUCUCCCAGCCACUGUAAUUAGGCUUUCCAGAAACAGUCUUGCUGCUGUCUUGACAUCACAAUAGCAUUUUGAUGAGCUUGGACAGUUACCAGUUCAUCCGUCUGGCAAGAUAUUGCUGCAUUUCCAAAGAUUUCACUGUAUCGUUGUGGAUGCCAUUAAUUCCCAGAAGGGAAAGAGAAAUAUUUUUACAACAAUAUGCAAAGAAGUCAUUCAAGAGCAGGCUUAUGGCGUUAAAACUUUUGUCUUCAAACCUAGCAGCAAGUCUUCUCAUAUUGAGUCAUUUACUUACAAGGGCAUAAAUGAGCGCACAGUUCUUUCAUUGAUGAGCAGGCAAGGGAAAACAUAAUCAGAGAAAGAGAGGGGGUGAUAAAGAGAGGUACAUGGACAAAAAGCAAGAGGGAGAGAGAUGUCUUGAGUCGAAAGCUUCUUGAGGUCAGGAUUCAGGUUUUCACUCUGGUUCUUCUUUUGAACAGGAUGGUGCAUGUGAUCAUGUUGAUACUGGGGCAACCUGUCCCAUUUGAGCAUUAGUGAUUUUGCAGUCAGACUUAAAGCGUCUAUUAUGCAUCACGGUCUCCUAUAACGUAUCUUGAACUCGACACCAGAACUGUCCAGUGCCAUGCUUUCAGGAGACUUUUGUGUAGGUGGAACAAGUCUGUCCAUAUAAGACUGCUGGUGCUGAUGCAAGUGUUCUAUUAUGUGCCAUCAAAGCGCUGGAAAUGGGGCUAGUGCAACUGAGAAACUGAAUUUUUAAUUAAAAAAAUCUUUUUUAGUGAUGGAGUCUUGCUCUGUUGUGCAUGCAGGCUGGAGUGCAGUGACACCAUCAUAGCUUACUGCACCCUUGAACGUCUGGGCUGAAGUGAUUCUCCUGCUUCCACUUCUCAAGCGGCUGGGACUACACAGUCAUGCACCACUACACCUGGGUAACUUCUAAAUUUUUUGUACAGAUGGGAGUCUCACUGUGUUGCCCAGACUGGUCUGGAACUUCUAGCCUCAGGCAUUUCUCCCAACUUGACCUCCCAAAGUUCUGGGAUUACAGGUGUAAGCCACUGUACCCAGUGAUCUUUAAUUUUUUCAUGUUAAGUAAUUAGAUAGUGCUAUGGAGGGCUGAGGGUAUCUACUGUAGGUAUUCAUGUAGCAUCUCACCCUAAAAGAGAAAUGUGCAACAACCUCCUUCCACCCCAAGGAUAGAAGAGAAUUCUUCUGAGAUCACUAACUCAACACUUUGAAAUGAAUCUCAAUCCCUCAAGUAGGAGAAAAGGGCACAUGAGUAAUAGAAUAAUGCCCCAUGCCUUGGGCUAAAGACAUGUGCCUAUUAUUUAUGCCUAUCCAUUUCUUUUUCAAAAUCUAGUCAUCGCAAAUAUUUCUAGCAUCACUGUGGAAGUGGAAAUGAUAGCUUUUGCUUUUGAUUAGCACCUGGAACCAUCACAGUGCCCAGUUGCUAGCUCAAAGACGCCUGCUCAACAGAUUCGAUGCCUAUUCUAGAAGGAAGCUUUUAAGUUUUCUUGAAAUAAAAUCCAAGUAUCUUUGCUAUGAGACAUGAUUUCCGGAUGCUGGGAGCAGGGAAAGACUGUUGUCCCCUUCUAUUUGCAAUUGUUUGAUUGCCUUUAACAACCAUCAGAAGGGAAAGAGACCUGCAGUUAAAUUUGAAAUGAUGGACAACUUGACCCCAAAAAGACCUUGCUGUAAUUUGAAUUCCUGUUGGCUGUCUGAAAGAUGCAGCUGACUGAGCUAAUGACUCUGAGACAUUUCGGAUAAGAAGAUGUAGCAAGCUGUUGGUCUACUCACAGGGAGGAAAACAGAAAAAUAAAUACCUGGAUCUCACACUCCGUUUUUCUCCUAUUUUCAGCAUUCUGCUGGUGCUCCCUGUUGAUUGAAGUCAACCAGAAUCCAGAGAGGAAGUGAGUCCAUUUGGAUAAUCCACGUAGGUCAGACUCUUGGGGGCACAAAUUAGUCUGCAGAAGAAACUACUACACAAUCUACUGGUGUUAACGUUUUACUAGUUUGACCACAGCGUAGAAUAUUACCUCCUAUUUAUAAAUGGUUUAAAUGUUCCUUUCGUGUAGAUUUAGAAGCACUUAAGACAUUAUUAUAGUUUUUACUUCAACACUCAAAUAUACUCUAGAAAACCCAAGACAAGGAAAAUGUAUUAUACAGUCAUGUGCUGCAAGAUGAUGUUUUGCUCAGUGACGGAAUGCAUAUAUGAUGGUCCCGUAAGAAUAUAAUACCAUAUUUUUACUGUAUCUUUUCUAGGUUGUGAUAAAUGAAUUUUUUUCACUGUGUUACAGUUGCCUACAGUAUCCAGUACAAUGACAUGCUAUACAUGUUUGUAGCCUAGGAGCAAUAGGCUAUACCAUACAGCCCAGACGUGUAGUAGGCUAGUCCACUGGGUUUGUGUAAGUAUAGUCUAUGAUGCUCAUGCAAUGGCCAAUUUGCCUAAUGACACAUUUCCCAGAACAUAUCCCUGUCAUUAAAAGAUGCA